UACGUAGGGUGCAAGCGUUAAUCGGAAUUACUGGGCGUAAAGCGUGCGCAGGCGGUUAUGUAAGACAGAUGUGAAAUGCCCGGGCUUAACCUGGGAACUGCAUUUGUGACUGCAUGGCUAGAGUAUGGCAGAGGGGGGUGGAAUUCCACGUGUAGCAGUGAAAUGCGUAGAGAUGUGGAGGAACACCGAUGGCGAAGGCAGCCCCCUGGGCCAAUACUGACGCUCAUGCACGAAAGCGUGGGGAGCAAACAGG
rnacentral:rRNA from 1 species